rnacentral:rRNA from 1 species
UACAGGGGGGCAAGCGUUGUUCGGAAUUACUGGGCGUAAAGGGUUCGUAGGUGGCCACUUAAGUCAGACGUGAAAUCCUCAGCUUAACUGGGAACUGCGUCUGAUACUGGGUGGCUUGAGUGCAGGAGAGGAAUGCGGAAUUCCAGGUGUAGCGGUGAAAUGCGUAGAUAUCUGGAGGAACACCGGUGGCGAAGGCGGCAUUCUGGACUGUAACUGACGCUGAGGAACGAAAGCCAGGGAGCAAACGGG